CCUACGGGUGACAGCAGUGAGGAAUAUUGGUCAAUGGACGAGAGCCUGAACCAGCCAAGUCGCGUGAGGGAAGACGGUCCUAUGGAUUGUAAACCUCUUUUGUCGGGGAGCAAAAAGGCCUCGUUAGGCCACAAGUUAGAGUACCCGAAGAAAAAGCAUCGGCUAAAUCCGUGCCAGCAGCCGCGGUAAUACGGAGGAUUCGACCGUUAUCCGGAUUUUUUGGGUUUAAAGGGUGCGUAGGCGGACUGGACAGUCAGCGGUAAAAUCGAGAGGCUCAACCUCUUUCCGCCGUUGAAACUGUCGGUCUUGAGUGGGCGAGAAGUAUGCGGAAGGCGUGGUGUAGCGGUGAAAUGCAUAGAUAUCACGAAGAACUCCGAUUGCGAAGGCAGCAUACCGGCGCCCGACUGACGCUGAGGCACGAAAGCGUGGGUAUCGAACAGGAUUAGAUACCCUGGUAGUC
rnacentral:rRNA from 1 species